UACGGGAGGCAGCAGUGGGGAGUCUUAGACAAUGGGGGAAACCCUGAUCUAGCCAUGCCGCGUGAGCGAUGAAGGCCUUAGGGUUGUAAAGCUCUUUCAGCUGGGAAGAUAAUGACGGUACCAGCAGAAGAAGCCCCGGCUAACUCCGUGCCAGCAGCCGCGGUAA
rnacentral:rRNA from 1 species